GAGGACCUGCGCUCGCGGGGGCUGCUGCGCUCUGCGCUGGGGCCUCUCGGGCUGGGAAUGCGUGGCCCGGCUUUUGAGGAUUUCCUCGGUCCCCGGGCGGAAAUAGCUGGAAUGGAGGGGCCUCUCGAUUGGAGACUUACUGGUCAAAUAUUUACUUUUGUUGAUCACUGGAAACGCUACCUACCACGCAUUGACUAGGACCACAGUGAGGAGGGAACGCUUUAGAUGAUAGAGUUUUGUUUGGGGGCUUUUUUUUGUUUUGUUUUAUUCCAGGAAUUCAGGAAAUUGCCCCAGAAGUCCGAUUUCUGAUGUGUAAAACCUUUUUUUACAGAAAACCACGACUUCCUGGAAAAGUCUUCACCGUAAAUAUUAAUCUCUUUGGCAUGAAGAGGAAAACACUGCAGCUAAUUUUUCAUGGGAUAACAAAAAUAUAAACUGCAAUUUCUUUUAUUUUUUCCCUUUCGAUGGUCUUUUUAAACGAGGAGUAAAGAUUUCAACGCCAGGUCCAUUUUCCAAAUUUUGUACCAGAACCUUGAGGAUGCUUGUCUCUCGCGCGCUUCUCCGCAGACCGAACCCUCUCCGGAACUCAGAGCUGUUCACCCAAGUCAGCGGAGGAGGCCUCCUGGGACUUGAGCCUGAGGGUGGCGAAGAACCCUAGGCAGAGAUCAUCAACUUGGUACCGAUGAGUGACGCGGAGCUUGAACAUUCCAGCGACUUGCUCCAGGGCCACUCCCAGUUAAGAGGCUGAGUGUUAACUGCAAGAGGCUGAGUGUUAACUACGCCGUUGGCUCCAGGAACCGAACCGGGUUUGGAUACAGACCCAGUCACACCAUCCAUGAAAAGCUGUUUCUAUAAUAUGAAAAAUUGUUAAAUGACGCUUUAGUAAAAGCCAUUUAAAGAUCUUUUCUAAUAAAUUUUUCAUCUUUCCAAACAA
rnacentral:lncRNA from 1 species